CCUACGGGCGGCAGCAGUGGGGAAUAUUGCACAAUGGGGGAAACCCUGAUGCAGCGACGCCGCGUGAGUGAAGAAGUAUUUCGGUAUGUAAAGCUCUAUCAGCAGGGAAGAAAAUGACGGUACCUGACUAAGAAGCCCCGGCUAACUACGUACCAGCAGCCGCUGUACAACUGAGGGUGCAAGCGUUAGGCGGAUUUACUGGGUGUAAAGUGAGCGGAGACGGCAGAGCAAGUCUGAAGUGAAAGCUCGCGGCCCAACCGCGGGACUGCUUUGGAAGCUGCCCGGCUAGAGUGCUGGAGAGGUAAGCGGAAUUCCUAGUGUAGCGGUGAAAUGCGUAGAUAUUAGGAGGAACACCAGUGGCGAAGGCGGCUUACUGGACAGUAACUGACGUUGAGGCUCGAAAGCGUGGGGAGCAAACAGGAUUAGAUACCCCUGUAGUC
rnacentral:rRNA from 1 species